rnacentral:lncRNA from 1 species
UUAUACCUACUUUCUUGGUUAUUAUCUAGACUUAACAAUGCUUGAACUUCACCAGCUUGCUAAAUCGCUCUCUAAAGUGACUGUACUAUUUGCAUUGUGACCAGCAGUAUACGAGAGUGCCCAUUUCUCAAAAUAUUAAGAAUAGGAUUCAUAGAUAGUCACAUUUCAAGUGAUUUUUCUUUUCUUGGCGUGUGUGUGUGUGUGUGUGUGUGUGUGUGUGUGUGUGUGUGUUGUUUUUAAGACAGGGUCUCACUGUCACCCAGGCUGGAGUUCAGUGGCAUGAUCAUGAUCUCGGCUCAUUGCAGCAUCAACCUCCUGGACUCAAGCAGUCCUCCCAUUUCAGCCUCCAAAGGAGCUGGGACUACAGGCACAGCUUGUAUACCUUCUGUCAUUGUUUUUUUUUUUUUUUCUUUUUUCCCCUAAACAGUAAGUUAUUGUUAUUCUAACAAAAAAGUAAAGCUUUUUGAUAUCAAAUCAACAGCAGAGAG